rnacentral:tRNA from 1 species
AGUCUUAUAGUCAAAUAGAUGACCCUAAAUUGCAAAUUUAGAAGUGGGAGGAACUAGCCCUAAGGCUU